CAGUAGCCGCGGGAAUACGGAGGGUGCAAGCGUUAAUCGGAAUUACUGGGCGUAAAGCGCACGCAGGCGGUCUGACAAGUCAGAUGUGAAAUCCCCGGGCUUAACCUGGGAACUGCAUUUGAAACUGUCAGGCUGGAGUGUUGUAGAGGGGGGUGGAAUUCCAGGUGUAGCGGUGAAAUGCGUAGAGAUCUGGAGGAAUACCGGUGGCGAAGGCGGCCCCCUGGACAAAGACUGACGCUCAGGUGCGAAAGCGUGGGGAGCAAACAGGAUUAGAUACCCGGGUAGUCCCUGUCUCUUAUAA
rnacentral:rRNA from 1 species